GGGCCCGUAGCUCAAUUGGCAGAGCAGCGGCCUUUUAAGCCGCGGGUUGAGCGUUCGAUCCGCUCCGGGCUCA
rnacentral:tRNA from 1 species